rnacentral:rRNA from 1 species
GUAUAUUAAUAUUGUUGCAGUUAAAACGCUCGUAGUUGAACUUAGAAUUGUUACAGAUUGUUUCGCUUGAUUGUGAAAUGUCUGCUCAAUUCUUAUCUACUGGAUACUCUGCUCUGUACUUAAUUGUAUGGAGCAUCGCCUAGCCAGCGGAGCAGAGGUCUGUAAAUUCCUAAUUUUGCAAGGAAGUAAAAUUCUAACAUGUGAUUUUGGGGUUCAAUUUGUGGAUCUCUGUGGGGUGCCAGUUAAUUUACCUUGAGUAAAUUAGAGUGUUCAAAGCAGCCUCUUGGGGCUUUGAAUAAUUUAGCAUGGGAUAAUGGAAUAGGAUUGGAUUCCUAUUUGUUGGUUUGAUGAAUCCAAUAAUGAUUAAGAGGGACAGUUGGGGGCACUCAUAUUAAGUGGUUAGCGGUGAAAUGUGUUGACCCACUUAAGAUGAACUAAAGCGAAAGCAUUUGCCAAGGAUGUUUUCAUUAAUCAAGAACGAAAGUUAAGGGAUCGAAGACGAUUAGAUACCGUCGUAGUCUUAACUAUAAACCAUGCCGACCAGGGAUAUGAGUAGUUUAUUUCUGGAUCACCGUGUGUGAUUCAGAUACUUCUCCUUAUGCACCUUGUGAGAAAUCAUAAGUUUUUGGGUUCUGGGGGAAGUAUGGUCGCAAGGCUGAAACUUAAAGGAAUUGACGGAGGGGCACCACCAGGAGUGGAGCGUGCGGCUUAAUUCGACU